UCCAGCCUUAAGCAUUCCAAACCUGGAA
rnacentral:piRNA from 1 species